GGGAUGGAGCCAGGUUUCCUCCAGACGUGACGCUUGCCAUUCAGGCCAAAGAGUUCAAUCUUGGUUUCAUCAGACCAGAGAAUCAUGUUUCUCAUGGUCAGAGUCCUUUUUGCAAACUCCGAACAGGCUGUCAUGUGCUUUUUACUGAGGAGUGGCUUCAGUCUGGCCACUCUACCAUAAAGGCUUGAUUGGUGGAGUCCUUCUGGAAGGUUCUCCCAUCUCCACAGAGGAACUCUGGGGCUCUGUCAGAGAAUUCUUCCAUUUAAGAAUGAUGGAGGCCACUGUGUUCUUAGGGUAGUGACCAUGCUGGAGGUGUUACUGUACUCUACAGACUACUUAUCGGGGUAGUGACCAUGCUGGAGGUGUGUUACUCUACAGUCUACUAUCAGGGUAGUGACCAUGCUGGAGGUAUGUUACUCUACAGUCUACUAUCAGGGUAGUGACCAUGCUGGAGGUGUGUUACUCUACAGUCUACUAUCAGGGUAGUGACCAUGCUGGAGGUGUGUUACUCUACAGUCUACUAUCAGGGUAGUGACCAUGCUGGAGGUGUGUUACUCUACAGUCUACUAUCAGGGUAGUGACCAUGCUGGAGGUGUUACUGUACUCUACAUUCUACUAUCAGGGUAGUGACCAUGCUGGAGGUGUGUUACUCUACAGUCUACUAUCAGGGUAGUGACCAUGCUGGAGGUAUG